UACGUAGGGGGCCAGCGUUGUCCGGACUCAUUGGGCGUAAAGAGCGUGUAGGCGGCCAGCAAAGUCCGCUGUGAAAACUCGAGGCUCAACUUCGAGCUGUCGGUGGAAACUUUCUGGCUAGAGUCCGGAAGAGGAGAAUGGAAUUCCUGGUGUAGCGGUGAAAUGCGCAGAUAUCAGGAAGAACACCCGUGGCGAAGGCGGUUCUCUGGGACGGUACUGACGCUGAGACGCGAAAGCGUGGGGAGCGAACAGG
rnacentral:rRNA from 1 species